UACGUAGGUCCCGAGCGUUGUCCGGAUUUAUUGGGCGUAAAGCGAGCGCAGGUGGUUUAUUAAGUCUGGUGUAAAAGGCAGUGGCUCAACCAUUGUAUGCAUUGGAAACUGGUAGACUUGAGUGCAGGAGAGGAGAGUGGAAUUCCAUGUGUAGCGGUGAAAUGCGUAGAUAUAUGGAUGAACACCGGUGGCGAAAGCGGCUCUCUGGCCUGUAACUGACACUGAGGCUCGAAAGCGUGGGGAGCAAACAGG
rnacentral:rRNA from 1 species